GAUGAACGCUAGCGGCAGGCCUAACACAUGCAAGUCGAGGGGUAGAACACUUCGGUGUUUGAGACCGGCGCACGGGUGCGUAACGCGUAUGCAAUCUACCUUGUACAGGGGAAUAGCCCAGAGAAAUUUGGAUUAAUGCCCCAUAGUAUAUAACCUUCGCAUGUUGGUUAUAUUAAAGUUCCAACGGUACAAGAUGAGCAUGCGUCCCAUCAGUUAGUUGGUAAGGUAACGGCUUACCAAGACGAUGAUGGGUAGGGGUCCUGAGAGGGAGAUCCCCCACACUGGGACUGAGACACGGACCAGACUCCUACGGGAGGCAGCAGGGAGGAAUAUUGGUCAAUGGUCGCAAGACUGAACCAGCCAUGCCGCGUGCAGGAAGACGGUCCUAUGGAUUGUAACUGCUUUUAUACAGGAAGAAACCCUCCCACGUGUGGGAGCUUGACGGUACUGUAGGAAUAAGGAUCGGCUAACUCCGUGCCAGCAGCCGCGGUAACAC
rnacentral:rRNA from 1 species